rnacentral:rRNA from 1 species
UCAGGUGGCCGCAGAGAAUAGGCCCAAGCGACUGUUUACCAAAAACAUAGGUUUCUGCUAAGUCGCAAGACGAUGUAUAGGAGCUGACGCCUGCCCGGUGCUGGAAGGUUAAGGGGAUCUGUUAGAGCAAUCGAAGCAGUGAACUUAAGCCCCAGUAAACGGCGGCCGUAACUAUAACGGUCCUAAGGUAGCGAAAUUCCUUGUCGGGUAAGUUCCGACCCGCACGAAAGGCGUAACGAUUUGGGCACGGUCUCAACAACAGACUCGGUGAAAUUGUAAUUCCGGUGAAGAUGCCGGAUACCUGCGACAGGACGGAAAGACCCCAUGGAGCUUUACUGUAGCUUGACAUUGGGUCUUGGUACUACAUGUACAGGAUAGGU